rnacentral:lncRNA from 1 species
GCUGAAGAGAGUCAGAUUCCCAUCACGCUCCGGGACAUGUUCCAUGAAGCCCCCUCAUCUGUCAUGUUCUCAGAGGUCAGUGAAACAGAAGAAUCAGAAAUGCUGAUUGGUCAGAGUGAUGGACUCAGAAAUGACUGGUCAAGGUUGUCACUGCAGUCCUGACAGAACUUCUGUAGACCAUUCCUUGAAGGUGCUGCUGGCCGA